rnacentral:rRNA from 1 species
GACGAACGCUGGCGGCGUGCUUAACACAUGCAAGUCGAACGGAAAGGCCCUGCUUUUGUGGGGUUCUCGAGUGGCGAACGGGGGAGUAACACGUGAGUAACCUGCCCUUGACUUUGGGAUAACUUCAGGAAACUGGGGCUAAUAUCGGAUAGGAGCUACUGCUGCAUGGUGGGGGUUGGAAAGUUUCGGCGGUUGGGGAUGGACUCGCGGCUUAUCAGCUUGUUGGUGGGGUAGUGGCUUACCAAGGCUUUGACGGGUAGCCGGCCUGAGAGGGUGACCGGCCACAUUGGGACUGAGAUACGGCCCAGACUCCUACGGGAGGCAGCAGUGGGGAAUAUUGCACAAUGGGCGGAAGCCUGAUGCAGCAACGCCGCGUGCGGGAUGACGGCCUUCGGGUUGUAAACCGCUUUCGCAUGUGACGAAGCGUGAGUGACGGUAAUGGGUAAAGAAGCACCGGCUAACUACGUG